rnacentral:sRNA from 1 species
CUGUCUCUGCUCUGUCUCUGCUCCAAACCCCACCAGUGGUCUCCAUCGAAGACCCCUUUGACCAGGAUGACUGGGCCACUUGGACCUCCUUCCUCUCGGGGGUGAACAUCCAGAUUGUGGGGGAUGACUUGACAGUCACCAACCCCAAGAGGAUUGCCCAGGCCGUUGAGAAGAAGGCCUGCAACUGUCUGCUGCUGAAGGUCAACCAGAUCGGCUCGGUGACCGAAUCGAUCCAGGCGUGCAAACUGGCUCAGUCUAAUGGCUGGGGGGUGAUGGUGAGCCACCGCUCUGGGGAGACUGAGGACACAUUCAUUGCUGACCUUGUGGUGGGGCUCUGCACAGGACAGAUCAAGACUGGCGCCCCCUGCCGCUCGGAGCGUCUGGCCAAAUACAACCAACUCAUGAGGAUCGAGGAGGCUCUUGGGGACAAGGCAAUCUUUGCUGGACGCAAGUUCCGUAACCCGAAGGCCAAGUGAGAAGCUGGAGGCUCCAGGACUCCACUGGACAGACCCAGGUCUUCCAGACCUGCUUCCUGAAAUAAACACUGGUGCCAACC